ensembl:lncRNA
GAAAAACACAGAGGAUCAUCCCGGAAAAUCCAUGUUAAACAAUUGUGACACAGCCAAGGUGUUCCUUCUCAAUUGAAGAAAAUCCCAUCUUGAGUGUUGGAUUGAAAUCACUUUAGAUUAACAGAUUUUCCUGCCCAAUUGAUUUUCUGGCAUCCAUGUGGUGAUCUAGCAGAGAUAAAAUGCGGGUUCUUAGUCCACGGCUGCAAGGAAACCGAGAGCUUGGCAAAUAGAACCGGCAAAGCUUCUUUCUCUCUCGCUCGGUUGGAGCAGGACAACUGGAGCCGGUCAGCUGCUGACCAGAUGCUGCCUUCAAUUAAUAUGCCAACCCUCAAAGACAUUUAUCGCUCACUCUCAAAAGCAGAGCAGCUGACUAAUAAAAGGAACUACUAAAACCAUUUUUUUUUAGAGCAUUUGUAAUGGCUAAAUUGCUUGAAAUAAAUUAGCAAAAAAAAAAUAAACAUAGUUUGUACAGUAUCUGUAAAACAAAUUUCUAGUCUUGGGAAAAUAGACAAAGUGAGAGCUUGUAUUUAACAAGCACAUGCAAUAUGCUUCAUUAAGACAAGGCUUUUUUUUUCCCUUCUAAAUUUAAAAAGGGUUAAUAAACUCCAAGAUAUCAUUGCCAGUUAAACAGGUUCUGCACCAUUUUAAGGGAAGUAAGAGGUUACAAAGGAGACAGUUAAAAAGAAACCAAGAGACUGUGUUGUAGUGCUAACAGGCAAUUAACAAACUCAUGGGUGUUAAUUAUCUUCAUACUGUAUCAUGUUCAAUUAGCUUAGUCUCUGCAACAAAGGCAACGAUGAACAAUUGCUUUGAUAGGUGUACAGUACUUCAUUUGUAGUUAAUCGGUUUAAGCCCUCUGGUUGCUAGGUUACCUUGGUCUCCAGAGGUAAAAAGCUGUACAGAUGCACUAUGUUUAAAUGACUACAGAGAACUGUUUAAACUCAAACCAUGUAUAACUCUUUAUUGAUUUUUCACAG